CGCCUCUGGAACACUCGCACCGACGGCGAACGGCGGCGCCGCGCCGUCACCUCGCGGCCGCGACCGAUACUGCCAGGAAAAGACGUGUUUAAGAUCGAGCCAUGUAGGAUAUGUGAUCAACGAGGCAGCAGCAUCCCGAGGGACUGCGUAAUUCAAUGCUGUCAUCGAUGUCGCGGUCAACUCGUGCACAUGAUUUGGGAGAAGAAGCAAGUGGAGGCCCAUUAUGUGAACAUGAUUUUUUGGAGAAGAAGAGCAAGUGGAAGGCAACAUGUGAACAUGAUUUCGGAGAAGAGCAAGUGGGAGGGCAAGACGACAGGAACAGAUUAAUGGAGGGGUUGCCUCUCUAUUUCAUAGAGAAGAGGCUCAAAAGCCCUUUUUUGGAACUUCGGAUCCCCUACAGGCUAGCUACAGGACUGCCAUGAGCUGCAUUCCUUUGCAUUUCUAGAUUAAGAUAUAUAUGAAGUAAGCAUGUUUGUAGUUUAAAACGGACAAUUAUUGUUGAUAUGAUAAGUGAGUGGUCGGUA